CAUGCACCUUCCUCCCGAAACGCGUCUCUGCUUCCGGCGCUCUGCUGCGGAGGCCGUGGCCGCGGUUAGUUGGGAGGAACCGAGAUUUACGCUUGACGCCAGGAACCUGGACAUCCUCCGCCGUUCACAGUAGGACGCAUCACCUCAUCCUCCGCCGUUCACAGUAGGACGCAUCACCUCAUCCUCCGCCGUUCACAGUAGGACGCAUCAACUCAUCCUCCGCCGUUCACAGUAGGACGCAUCAACUCAUCCUCCGCCGUUCACAGUAGGACGCAUCAACUCCUUAGAGUUGGGGCAGCCAGCAUAAAAGGAGGCUGACCUCAGCCCGCUUCAUUCACUGCAACUUCUGGAGGCUGGGAAGUCCAAGGGCGAGGGGCUGGCAUCUGGUAAAGGCCUUCUUGCCACACCAUUCCAUGGGGGAAGAUGGAAGAGCAAGAGGACACACAGCAAGAGACAGCUAAAUUCAUUUUUACAACACAUGCUCAUGAUAACGAACCCACUCUGAUAAUGACAUUAAUGCAUUCAUGAAGGCAGAACCCUCAUGGCCUAAUCGCUUCUUAAUGGUUCCACCUCUUAAUACCAUCACAAUGGCAAUUAAAUUUCAACAUGAAUUUUGGAGGGAACAUUCAAAC
rnacentral:lncRNA from 1 species